AAAAAAUACAGUUUUACAUUAUUCAUGUUCAAUAUUUGAUCCUUUAUUUUAUUUGAAUUUUUUUAUGAUUAGUAUUUCGUUGUUGUUAGAUGAUAAAAUAUAAAUAGUACUUUGUGUGUGACUAAUUUUUUUAAUUUUUUUAUAAAUUUUAUAAAUAAGAUGGAUGAUCAAACGUUAGAAACGAAUAUCCACAACUAGAACGGAU
rnacentral:pre_miRNA from 1 species